CCUACGGGAGGCAGCAGUGGGGAAUAUUGCUCAAUGGGCGAAAGCCUGACGCAGCGAUGCCGCGUGAGGGAUGACGGUCUUCUGAUCUUUAACCUCCUUCAGCAGGGAAGAACGGUCACUUUGCUAAUCAUCACUGAAUUUAUGGUACCUUAAAAGGAAGCACCGGCUAACUCCGUGCCAGCCGCCGCUGUAAUACGGAGGGUGCGAGCGUUAAUCGGAAUUACUGGGAGUAAAGCGCUCGUAGGCGGUAUGUCAAGUCAAGGGUGAAAUCCCCGGGCUCAACGUGGGAACUGCCUUUGAAACGGGCAAACUGGAGUGUGUGAGAGGAUAGUGGAAUUCCAGGUGUAGGAGUGAAAUCCGUAGAUAUCUGGAGGAACAUCAGUGGCGAAGGCGACUAUCUGGCACAUAACUGACGCUGAGGAGCGAAAGCGUGGGUAGCAAACAGGAUUAGAUACCCUUGUAGUC
rnacentral:rRNA from 1 species